rnacentral:rRNA from 1 species
GUCUGUUUGAAGAUGUAAACAGUCUAGCCUGCCCACUGAUAAGUAUUAAAGGGCCGCGGUAUUCUGACCGUGCAAAGGUAGCAUAAUCGUUAGUUUCUUAAUUGGGAUCUUGUAUGAAUGGUUGGACAAAAGAAAAUCUGUCUCUAUAGUUGGUCUUGAAUUUAACUUUUAAGUGAAAAGGCUUAAAUAAAUUAAAGGGACGAUAAGACCCUAUAAAGCUUGAUAUUACAUGGUAUUAGACUGAAUUGUAAGUUUAUAAAGGUUUAGUAUCGAAAUUUUAUUAUAUUGGGGCGAUAAAAGUAAAAUGAUUAGUAACUGCUUUAUUUUAAGACAAAAUUAAGUGAUUAAGUAUAACAAAAGAUCCUAGAUAAAGAUUAAAAGAUUAAGUUACUUUAGGGAUAACAGCGUUAUUUUUUUUGAGAGUUCUUAUCGAAAAAAAAGUUUGCGACCUCGAUGUUGAAUUAAAAUUUCUCCACAAUUGCAGGAGUUGUGGAAGAAGGUCUGUUCGACCUUUAAAUUUUU